rnacentral:rRNA from 1 species
GCGUGGGGAGCGAACAGGAUUAGAUACCCUGGUAGUCCACGCCGUAAACGAUGAGUGCUAAGUGUUAGGGGGUUUCCGCCCCUUAGUGCUGCAGCUAACGCAUUAAGCACUCCGCCUGGGGAGUACGGUCGCAAGACUGAAACUCAAAGGAAUUGACGGGGGCCCGCACAAGCGGUGGAGCAUGUGGUUUAAUUCGAAGCAACGCGAAGAACCUUACCAGGUCUUGACAUCCUCUGACAAUCCUAGAGAUAGGACGUCCCCUUCGGGGGCAGAGUGACAGGUGGUGCAUGGUUGUCGUCAGCUCGUGUCGUGAGAUGUUGGGUUAAGUCCCGCAACGAGCGCAACCCUUGAUCUUAGUUGCCAGCAUUCAGUUGGGCACUCUAAGGUGACUGCCGGUGACAAACCGGAGGAAGGUGGGGAUGACGUCAAAUCAUCAUGCCCCUUAUGACCUGGGCUACACACGUGCUACAAUGGACAGAACAAAGGGCAGCGAAACCGCGAGGUUAAGCCAAUCCCACAAAUCUGUUCUCAGUUCGGAUCGCAGUCUG